UCUCUCUCGGGUUUACACGUCUCCUGC
rnacentral:piRNA from 1 species